rnacentral:rRNA from 1 species
UACGUAGGCAGCAAGCGUUGUUCGGAAUUACUGGGCGUAAAGAGCUCGUAGGCGGCCUGUUACGUCUGCUGUGAAAUCCCGGGGCUUAACCCCGGGCGUGCAGUGGAUACGGGCAGGCUGGAGGCAGGCAGGGGAGAACGGAAUUCCCGGUGUAGCGGUGGAAAUGCGCAGAUAUCGGGAGGAACACCGGUGGCGAAGGCGGUUCUCUGGGCCUGUACUGACGCUGAGGAGCGAAAGCGUGGGGAGCAAACAG